rnacentral:rRNA from 1 species
GAUGAACGCUGGCGGCGUGCCUAAUACAUGCAAGUCGAGCGAACGGACGAGAAGCUUGCUUCUCUGAUGUUAGCGGCGGACGGGUGAGUAACACGUGGAUAACCUACCUAUAAGACUGGGAUAACUUCGGGAAACCGGAGCUAAUACCGGAUGAUAUUUUGAACCGCAUGGUUCAAAAGUGAAAGACGGUCUUGCUGUCACUUAUAGAUGGAUCCGCGCUGCAUUAGCUAGUUGGUAAGGUGACGGCUUACCAAGGCAACGAUGCAUAGCCGACCUGAGAGGGUGAUCGGCCACACUGGAACUGAGACACGGUCCAGACUCCUACGGGAGGCAGCAGUAGGGAAUCGUCCGCAAUGGUCGAAAGCCUGACGGAGCAACGCCGCGUGAGUGAUGAAGGUCUUCGGAGCGUAAAACUCUGUUAUUAGGGAAGAACAUAUGUGUAAGUAACUGUGCACAUCGUGACGGUACCUAAUCAGAAAGCCACGGCUAACUACGUG